rnacentral:other from 1 species
CUAAGGCUACGACGUUGGUGACUAUCAAAAUUGUUUUUGAUCUAUGUUUUUUCUUCAAGGGAACCUUGCAUAGCCCAGUUGCGGUAAACCAGGCUUGUACCUGGAAACUUUAGAUUGAGGUGACGGUACCCACCUGGUUUUCCAGGUCUAAAACUGAGGUAGAACGGCGUCGCGGUCAAAAA